rnacentral:rRNA from 1 species
UACGGAGAGUUUGAUCCUGGCUCAGGACGAACGCUGGCGGCGUGCUUAACACAUGCAAGUCUACGAGAACGAGGUAGCAAUAUCUUUAGUAAAGUGGCGUACGGGUGCGUAACACGUAAGUAAUCUACCUUUGGGUUCGGAAUAACUUCGGGAAAUCGGAGCUAAUACCGGAUAAUGCAGCGGCACCGCAUGGUGAUGUUGUUAAAGUUUGUGUAAUGCCUAAAGAUGAACUUGCGUCUGAUUAGCUAGUUGGUGAGGUAAUGGCUCACCAAGGCUGCGAUCAGUAGCUGGUCUGAGAGGAUGAUCAGCCACACUGGAACUGAGACACGGUCCAGAC